GAUCGGGACUGGUGGAAAGUGGUGAUGUGGGUCGUGCUCCACAUACCGAGGACGGGACUUCCUCACAGUCUUUCCAAGUCUGCAUAACCUCCCUGAGAGUUAGAAUGACAGUCCCGACGCUACUCGUUCUCCUCUGCCUGUAAAUAAUGCAGUGGUGGGCUGGUGGUCUAAAGGCUGACUUCGAUCCCUCCUCACGGUAGUUUCUCUGCUGUGAAGUUGGUUUCCGUCAUAACGCGUCCGCUCCACCGGACCUUGUUGCUGCGCCGGGCCUUGACUCAGUCUGUACCUCAUGGCAGUGUCCAGGCUCCGUGAUACAAGGGAUGCAGUACAAACGCAAGUCUAAACAGUAUAGAGUUAACACCACCCAGCACUCAGUGGCCCCAUCGCGCUGGUCAGUAGAGGACCCGAGGCCAUCAGACGCAGCGGAACCUUUCUGGGUCGUAAGGUGAUAGCCCGGGGGACGUAAAUAGUGCCGCCGAAGUCCCGAGCGGCUUCGAGACAAGGAAGAGAAGCUACGCGGUUCACUUCAGCCAGUCAGUGGUCAGUAGCGUCAGCUUCGUUGUGGUGUACGCGUGGGUUUUGUGUUUUCUUGAACGCUUAUUUGGGCUUCAGGUGAACCAAAACUCUCUCAAAGCAUGUCCACAGUGGUCAGCAGGCACUUGCUGUGAGAGAGAGGGGAGACCUGUGCACCGCUGUGCUGCACUGUGCUUAGAUGUCCCUGGUACACUCCUGAGGCUGUACCAUUCUUGCCCCUAUU